GGGGGGUGAGAAACUACCAUUGACUCUCACUCUUUGAGUUGUCAAUUAAAAAAAACAAAAAAAAAAAACCAACUAAAACUCAACCCACUUAAAAUAAAGACCAAAAUAAGUAAUUAACUUAUCUGCUAAUAUAUGAAGUUGUAAAGAAUUAAAAGUGGAUGAAAAAUAUACAAACAAAAGCUUAGCCUGUGUUUUGCUCUCUUCCAAGUGCUUUAAUACCAAAUUUAAUAGAGAUGCUGUUGCAUCCUCGACACCUCGCUUUGUUCUAUAGGCGAACUGAAGAGGGUCUAAACGAUUUUCGGUUUUAGGCAACAACUUUUCUUUUACUAACUUCUCAAAGCAUUUCAAAAUAAGAGAUGUUAGUGCUAUUGACCUAAAAUCAUUUAGUGUUACAACAUUUGCAGUUUUUGGUACAGUUUGGGGUUUUGUCGUAUUACAUCCCAUAAAAAUCUUAAUUAUAGCUGAUGCAAAGAAUUUACUAUUCACCACCACAGCUCAUUUUAAAUUUCAUGGACUCAAUUUUAGGGCCAAAUUCAGGUGCAUCAAAACAUAGAUAAAACCUAUUUUAUUCCAAAGCCAAUUGACUACUAGAGUCAUACCCAGGUAACUGAAUUUUCUUAGUCUCACACCCCUUAAAUCCAGUUAUGACCGUCAUCCCCUUCCAAACUGAACCCACAUUAUUCCUACUCAACUCUUUCUCCAGGUUCAUUUUAUAAUUUAACUUUGCUUUCCUCACUUCCAUUUUAAUCCCAUCCUGCAAUUUCAAUCUUUUUGCCAAAUCACCCUCAUAAAAUGCACUACAUCUUUCAUUCAUAAGUACUUUCAAAGAUUUUGUGAACCGUGGCUUGUUGUUUGGAAAUAUUUUAACAGUCUAACAGGGGAUGAGCAUAUCUUCACAGAACGAGAUAACUGCUAACAACAUCCGUGAGUUCAUCUAUUUCCAAGCAAGAGACAUAAAAAAAAAAUUAAAAAAACAUCCCAGUCCGUACAUUCCAGGCAUCCUUGCAAAGAUGCAGUGGACUCCUUGGACCACUCUAAUACUCGUAGUAUGAGGGUUUGAGUCCUGCUUCAGCAGUGGUAAAGUCGGGCGGGCUUUCCUCCGUGCCCUCACUCUCCACAGUGACAUCCACUGCCACGUGCGUUGUUGCCGGCUCUCAAACCUGGUCAGACAAUCCAUGAGGCUCUGGCUCCGGGGUGAUCCUCAGCUCUGUCGCCCUCUCUGGCGAUGGGUCGGUCGGAGAGGGCUUUGGCUCUCAGCAUGCGGUGGGUUCUACCAAAUGCUCUGCGGAGCGGGGUGACGGUUGGCUGGGCUCUGGGUCCGGAGUGGGGCUGCUCCCUGCAUCGUCCGGGUAGCUAGUUCUGUGGGAAAUGUCCAGGAAUAGUCUGGUGUGGUCCUCAAGGGAAAGUAAAGUUGGGGUGAUCCAUAACAAAAAAUAAAAUAUAAGACUUUCAAAAACGAAAAACAAAUGGGGGAAAACACGUCACUUAACUCCUUGUUUAGCCGGUUAUUAUGUCACACUUUUGUGAAGGGAGGCAGACGAAGAUGAAGGUAAUCCAAAUAGUAUUUAAUAGUAAUCCAAGAUUAUGAAGAUUCAUACAAAACACAGGGUAACACAACUAAUAACCAUCCGCUAAUUUACCUGAAAGGGGAACUUAAGUAGGGUGAGAUAACGAGGGACAGACAGGAGGGGACGAUAACUAAUCAAACACAGGUGAACUGAAUUAACUAAUCAAAGGACGACAGACACUAAAUGAAAACACAAAAGAAGUCCAUAGGUGCUUCUCAGUAUCCCUCCUCAUUUCCUCGCUCCUCCGUCCUCUAUCCUGUGACCAGGAAACCAAUCGAGCUCAGCCGUUUUGUAGGACAUCUCAAUUCUCUAAUUGCACUGCGAGGAGUGAGGAGGCUUCCAGAGGAGCUAUGAGCGAGGAUACACAGCUGUAUCCUGUGGGGAAGUGUUUUAUCGACUAAACGUGACACAAGUAUCAAUUCUCCACCCCUGCACAAACCAUGGCAGAAAAUACAAACACACAUAAAUGCCGGGACCAAGACCAGAAUGAAAGAGACGUCCAUCAGACCGGCAGAGCAGGAAUAAUCAAGGCCUUUGACUCUCCUAACCACGCUUCUUGAGAUCCAAUGCAAACUCAUCAAAGGGCAUGUUUUAUGGACAGCUCACUUUUAGCCCCCAAAAAUAAUGAAUGCAUUUGAUCCGACAUGAAAGAGACAGGAGGCUGGCUCUUCUGCUGGCAGACAGCAGACAGAUAAUUAAUAAUCAAAUUAAAGAAGACUUUCCACCACCCCACCAUCCACAGUUGUAUGUUAACACAAAGCAGUC
ensembl:lncRNA